rnacentral:lncRNA from 1 species
AGUGACAUAGGAUGAGGGUUUAUAUUUCCGUAUAGGGUAUAGUGAUUAUUGAGGAGGGGCUAGUUUCUGACAUAUUGGGUUCUCCAUUUGAAGAUUGGAUAAAGAGUUAAUUAAUAUGGAAGAGUUUUAGUUUUAUAACUGGGUUAGUGUUUAUAUUUCUUUUUAGGGUUUAGUAAUGAUUGGAGAAGGUUUAGUUUCUGGCAUAUUGGGUAUGCCAUUUGAAGAUUGGGGUUCACAUUGGAUUAGAGGUCAUAUUUCCGUGUAAAGUUUAGUGAUUAGUUAAUAGAGUAGUAUAUAUUCCUCUGUGUGCUUACUCAGGUUUUAAACUUCUAUGCUAUUUGGCAUUUACAUCGUGACAUAUACUAUUGUGUCAUAUAGAAUAGCAAUGUUCUGAAAUUGGUUUCUCUGUUACGUUACCUUAUGUAGAACGCGUACACUUAUUAUCCACUCAUUUUCCUUCGUAAUUUUCUAUCAUAUGUGAUAAAUACAGCUGGCCUCUCAUCUGCAUAUCGGUAUGUAUGUGUUUAU